rnacentral:rRNA from 1 species
AUACCGAGGAUCCGAGCGUUAUCCGGAUUUAUUGGGUUUAAAGGGUGCGCAGGCGGGAGAUUAAGUCGGCGGUGAAAUUUUGCAGCUCAACUGUAAAAGUGCCUUCGAAACUGGUUUCCUUGAGUGUAGAUGAAGUAGGCGGAAUUUGUGGUGUAGCGGUGAAAUGCAUAGAUAUCACGAGGAACUCCGAUUGCGCAGGCAGCUUACUAAACUACUACUGACGCUCAGGCACGAAGGCGUGGGGAUCAAACAGGAUUAGAUACCCUGGUAGUCCACGCAGUAAACGAUGAUUACUAGCUGUUUGCGAUACAAUGUAAGCGGCUGAGCGAAAGCGUUAAGUAAUCCACCUGGGGAGUACGUUCGCAAGAAUGAAACUCAAAUGAAUUGGCGGGG